rnacentral:rRNA from 1 species
CCUACGGGAGGCAGCAGUGGGGAAUUUUGGACAAUGGGCGCAAGCCUGAUCCAGCCAUGCCGCGUGCGGGAAGAAGGCCUUCGGGUUGUAAACCGCUUUUGUCAGGGAAGAAAAGGUUCUGGCUAAUACCUGGGACUCAUGACGGUACCUGAAGAAUAAGCACCGGCUAACUACGUGCCAGCAGCCGCGGUAAUACGUAGGGUGCAAGCGUUAAUCGGAAUUACUGGGCGUAAAGCGUGCGCAGGCGGUUAUGCAAGACAGAGGUGAAAUCCCCGGGCUCAACCUGGGAACUGCCUUUGUGACUGCAUAGCUAGAGUACGGUAGAGGGGGAUGGAAUUCCGCGUGUAGCAGUGAAAUGCGUAGAUAUGCGGAGGAACACCGAUGGCGAAGGCAAUCCCCUGGACCUGUACUGACGCUCAUGCACGAAAGCGUGGGGAGCAAACAGGAUUAGAUACCCUGGUAGUCCACGCCCUAAACGAUGUCAACUGGUUGUUGGGAGGGUUUCUUCUCAGUAACGUAGCUAACGCGUGAAGUUGACCGCCUGGGGAGUACGGCCGCAAGGUUGAAACUUAAAGUAAGUUAGUUACGGCGNGNGAGNGCGACGACGACGACGAGGAGGAGGAG